UGGUUCUGGCAUNGAUGAAGAACGCAGCGAAAUGCGAUAAGUAGUGUGAAUUGCAGAAUUCAGUGAAUCAUCGAAUCUUUGAACGCACAUUGCGCCCUUUGGUAUUCCUUAGGGCAUGCCUGUUCGAGCGUCAUAAAACCCCCUCAAGCGCAGCUUGUUGUUGGGCGUUUGUCCCGCACCCCCGCCGGACUCGCCCCGAAUCCAUUGGCGGCCCCCGCAUUGGGCUAUCGAGCGCAGCAGACUUUGCGCCUCGGGCACAACGCGCGGGCGACCAUUGAGUCACCCCCAUCCACUUUGACCUCGGAUCAGGUAGGGAUACCCGCUGA
rnacentral:misc_RNA from 1 species